UGCUCCAACCCUAAAAUUUGAAAACCAAGGAUGUUUAAUUACUUUAAUACACGAGUAGCAUUAAAACCUGAAGUGACUUAAAAAAUGAUACCCAUAUCCAUCUAAAAUCAAAUUUGACUGACGACUAAAAAUAAUAUCAAUAUUACUCAAUCUGUUGAAAAAUGGUUAUUUCAUAAAAAAUUGAAGUCUAAUGACUACUAGGUAAUAAGCAGGUCAAACUAAUAAAAAAAAGACUACAAUUAACAAUUAAUGUCAGCUAAGUAUUUACAUGAAUAGCAAUUGAAAAUGGUUUAGGACUUGACCACAAAAAAACCUAACCUUGAUCACUGAUCAACAAAAUGAGGUCAAAGUCAUACGAUCUCUGCCAGACUGACGAGUAGACCUGACCUUGCGAUGAUUCUUUAUACAAAAUAUACUUGUCAUAUCACUUUAAUAAAUAAGAUAAGUGCACAUGCUGAAACGUCUCACUGAUCCAUUUAAUGAGGUCAAUGUCAGUCGAACACUGUCUGAUGUUGCAAGGAACUAAUAUACCAAAUAUAGUUAUCCUUUUACCCAUAAUAAGUGAGAAAUUCACAUGAGAAAAUAACUGAUAUUUUUUCAAGCAGUCGCUGAACCAUGAAAAUUAGGUCAAGGACAAUGGACAGACGGAAACUUCGUAACAAAUGGUAUCUGUAUACUAGGUAUGAGGCAUCCAAGUCUUUUACCUUCUGAAAAAUAAAGCUUUAUACAAAUAAUUUACAUUGCCUCCACCACUGCAGCCCUUAUUAAUCCCUCUGUCUUACAUACUGCGACUUUUGUCGCAGUCGAAACAAAAAUCAGGCGAUAUAAAACUAAAUAGAUAUAAAAGUAAGAAGAUAAGAAGUUGUAUUAUUGCCAAUGAGACAACUCUCCAACAGAGACCAAAUAAAGUAGUUGACAACUAUAGGUCAACAUAUGGCCUUCAACAAUAAGCAAAACCCAAUCGGUAUAGUAAGCUAUAAAAGGUCAAGAGACACUUAAAAACAUGAUAUUUUUUAUUUGAUAAAAAAAACCUUACAACAAUAAAAACAAUCGAAAUGAAAUCAAUGCAUAAUUCAUAAAUUGCAGUGUUAACAAAUACAAUAAAUUAAAUACAUACAAUCAAAUUGGUUUUAACAUUUAUUUUUUAUGCCCCCGCCGUAGCGGUGGGGGCAUUAAGUUUACCCUUGUCCGUCCGUACGUCCCAAAAUUGGUUUCCGUUCUCUAACUUGAGUUUGCCUCAACCAAAUGUUAUGAAACUUAUACACAAUGCUUAUUUUCACAAAACACAGAUCAAGUUUGAAUUUUGGUGGCAUCACUUUAACCGAUCUAGAGUAUUGCCCCUUUAUAAAUGGAAAAAUUGCAAAAUUUUUAGUUUCCGUUCUCUAACUUAAGUUUGCCUCAACCAAAUGUUAUGAAACUUAUACACAAGGCUUAUUACCUACAAAACACAGAUCAAGUAUGAAUUUUGGUGGCGUCACUUUAACCGUUCUAGAGUUAUGCCCCUUUAUAAAUGGAAAAAUUGCAAAAUUUUAGUUUCCGUCCUCUAACUUAAGUUUGCCUCAACCAAAUGUUAUGAAACUUAUACACAAUGCUUAUUACCACAAAAAACAGAUCAAGUUUGAAUUUUGGUGGCUUCACUUUAACUGUUCUAGAGUUAUGCCCCUUUAUAAAUGGAAAAAAUUGCAAAAUGUUUAUUUUCUUCUAAAUAUCAAGUUAUUUUUAAAAUUGGAGUUAUCUUCCUUUGUCCAUGAUUAUAGUUGAAUCAACUACAAUGAAUGCUUUAUACAAUGCAAUGUUUAAUUUUGACUUCCACUGAUAAAACACAGAUCAAUUGAAUUUGGGUAGUGUCACUUUAACCAUUAUUGAGUUAUGCCCCUUUAUAAAUCGAAAGAUUGCAAAAUUUUUAGUUUCCAUUCUGUAACUUAAGUUUCCCCCAACCAACAUUAUGAAACCUAUACACAAUAUUCAUUACCACAAAGCUAAGAUCAAGUACAAAUUUUUUGUUUCCCUUUUCUAACUUUAGUUUGCCUCAACCAAAUGUUAUGAAACUUAUACACAAUGCUUAUUACUACAUAAUACAAAUUAAGUACGAAAUUUGGUGGGGACACUUUUACCAUUCUUGAGUUAUGUCCCUUCAUAAACAUAAAAAUUGCUGAAUUUUUUAGUUUUUGUUCUCUAACUCUAGUUUGUCUCAACCAAAUGUUAUAAAACUUAUACACAACCGUUCUAGAGUUAUGUCUGUUUACAAAUAGAAAAAAUGCAGAAUUUUUAGUUUCUGUUCUCUACUUAAGUUAGCCUCAACCAAAUGUAAUGAGACUUACACACAAUGCUUAUUACCACAAAACUCAGAUCAAGUUCAAAUUUGGGUAGCGUCACUUUUACCGUUCUUCAGUUAUGUCCCUUUAUAACUAUAUGAUAUGCAAGCGGGGGCAUUAUAUGUGUCCACAUGUGGACACUAUCCACAUUUUUUUAUAUUUCUUUAUAUUUUUUAGUGUUUACAAAUAUAUUUUAGUACAUUUUAUUAGAUUAUUGCUUUUUACAUAUUCAUGCAUAUGUGCAAUAUUCAGCUGUGUGCUUUUCAUUAUAUACUGCAUUAUAAAUAAAUAGCAGUCAUACAUA